AAGAACAAAGGGAGAAAGAAUAGAAAAACUCUAAGGAGGAAAAAUUCAAGAGAAAUUCAUUGGAUUUUCGAAAAAUGAAGCGAUCGGAGGUGGUAAGCCCUCUGGUAAGGGUAAGGAUAUAGUAUCCGAGGACCAGGAGUAGGAGUACUCUCGUUAUUGUUCAGAGCAGUCUGUAAACAGUCGAUUUUGUCGAGGGUUU